UGCUCUCUAUUACUUGACAAUGCCACCAGGAGCACCACCAGAGGUUUAGGAUCGUCAGGGACCCCAAGCCAAAGGAGUUGGUUCUGGCUCAACUACAGGAGAAGAAGCUAGCUGUUUGUUGAGUAUCUGAAAUCAAUUUCUACAAAUCCCACUGAAUAUUGUAUACAGCCUUGUGUGGGAUUUAACUACCAACCAGCAGGACCCUGAAAGCAGGCUGGAGCCCUCCAGGUCUUGGCCGUCCAGAGGUCUCCAACCAAGCAGGCUGCCUUUACCUCCGCUGUGGAUGUCUGGGGAGCACCAAGACGUAGCAACAGGGUUAGGAAGUUAAGUAAAAGCAGUUGCACAGCCUGGGCAUGAGUGUUGAUCACUUGUACAUACUGUUUACUGUUGUCAAUAAACUCCCAAGAAUGUC